CCGGACAUCCUUCAAGAGUUUAAAAUUUAACUUCUGCUUUGCCAGUUUUUGAUGGCGUACGUGGAAACCUUGUUUGUGUUUGGUGAAUUUCCAGCUGUAUGCAGUAAUUAGAAGCAAGAGUUAAACCUUGAGCCACAAAAGCCUGUCCUGUUGCUGGUGAUGGUGAGUUUGCACAAUAGCUUCCUUGGUGAUGGCGUGUGUGAGGCAUCUGCUAAGAGCCAAACUUCUCUCAGCGGCGAGCAUUCACAGCCAUGAAAGGAAUAUCAACAGUCCAGGGCUUGACGUUUUCUUUUUUUUCUUUCUACCAGAGUGAAAGGAAGCGCCAAGGAUCUCAGCUUAAAUCCAGUUGGUUACAGGCUCAUUCAGAUGCAUAUGAACCCGGCGAGUUCUCCCCUCUCUCUCCCUCUCUCUGCCUCCUGCUCUGGCUCGAUUUUCUUUAGAAAGUCCAGUUUUGUGUCUCCCUCCGGCUCGAGGCCUCGGUUUCUCUGAAUGUGUCCGGUGAAUAGCAAAGUGCUGCUUGUGCAGCUGACCACUCCUCUAUUUUGCAGAGACGUGCUUUGCAUGGUAACAUUAGUGAACAUAAUGCAUCUAAAUCUAUUCCUAGUGGUCAUUCAUCAUGGCUCUAAUGUCGGACGGUCUGUAUUUGUCUCUGGGAUGAUGACUACUGAAGAGCAGCUGAGAGGAAAGGACAUACAGUACCUCUAUAUCUGGUGUAUCUACAGUAUGUGUGAUUUAUCUCCUCUGUACACACAGCCGCAGUUGGACAUACUUGUCUUGGCGUAAACUACAGUGCAGUGUUUGACAUCACACGUACUAGUGGAUUCACUGCGGAGGAGAAUCAUGGCAAAUAUCCAAGUUUUUUUUAUAGCCAGGCUGCAGGAAGAGCAAAGACAGUGCAGCAUUCAGCCUGUUUUUGAUGGCCUAUCUUCAAUAAGAUAUUACCGAUAUUAAAAGACCAAUCAAAACUCAAGUCAUGAGCAGCCUCUACAGAAGAGUCUUACUUUUAAUCAAACCAAGUAGCUAAAUGUGCUGUUUUCAUAUUAAAGCUCCUGUAAGGGGUUUUUGGUUGGUGAUGAAACACACUGAUAUUAAUCAUGAUGCCUCUAUUUGACGUGCAAAAACAAACAAAACCAUCAGAGAGACAAUUUAUUUUUUCUUCAUUAUUAGGUGUUGGACGAAGUGACCGAAUGCACAUCAAAAAUUCAUCACUGUGACUGAUUCACUGUUUUUGACUUUGAAAAGACCAAAGGAUGACGAUUUUUGUAAAGAGACUAACAAGCAAGACCAAGUCACAAGACAAAACCAACAAAGAAAAAUGAUGUACUACUUGGUGAAUACUACUACUACUACUACUUAUAAUAAUAAUAAUAAUAAUAAUGAUAAUGCUCAGUAAAUGUUGGUUGUUUUAUUAGCCACUUAGCUACUAGCUAGUAGCCUUUAGCUCACUAACGUGACUCAAACAUGUUUUCUUCUCUUAAAGAUGCAGACUGAAGCAGAGAGAAGUGGACCUGCAACUAAACUACAACCUACUCUUCCGCUAUAUGAAAAAAAGAGAAAGUAUGACCAGUCUCCUGAAUCUGUCAAAAUAAACACAGCUGUAGCAGAGUAUAUCUGUGAGGACCAACUACCCAUUUACACAUUGGAGAAACCUGGGUUCCAAGUGAAAAAGUGAUUGUCUUGUUUUUUAUUUUAAAAAAAUAUUUCAUUUUCUGAUUAUUUAGUAGUUUUAUUUAAUUUAUUAUUUAUCUGCC
rnacentral:lncRNA from 1 species